rnacentral:rRNA from 1 species
UACAGAGGUCUCAAGCGUUGUUCGGAUUCAUUGGGCGUAACGGGUGCGUAGGCGGCGCGGUAAGUCGGGUGUGAAAUUUCGAGGCUUAACUUCGAAACUGCAUUCGAUACUGCCGUGCUAGAGGACUGGAGAGGAGACUGGAAUUUACGGUGUAGCGGUGAAAUGCGUAGAUAUCGUAAGGAAGACCAGUGGCGAAGGCGGGUCUCUGGACAGUUCCUGACGCUGAGGCACGAAGGCCAGGGGAGCAAACGGG